UACAGAGGUCCCAAGCGUUGCUCGGAUUCACUGGGCGUAAAGGGUGCGUAGGUGGUGAGGUAAGUCGGAUGUGAAAGCUCGGAGCUCAACUCCGAAAUGGCAUUGGAAACUACCUUGCUCGAGGGUUGGAGGGGGACUGGAAUACUUGGUGUAGCAGUGAAAUGCGUAGAUAUCAAGUGGAACACCAGUGGCGAAGGCGAGUCCCUGGACAACUCCUGACACUGAGGCACGAAAGCUAGGGGAGCAAACAGG
rnacentral:rRNA from 1 species